rnacentral:tRNA from 1 species
GAAUAGGUGGCUGAUUAGGCAGUGGACUGUAAACCCACUCAUGGAGUAUUCCCCGUUCG